rnacentral:rRNA from 1 species
UACGUAGGGUGCAAGCGUUGUCCGGAAUUAUUGGGCGUAAAGAGCUCGUAGGCGGUCUGUCGCGUCGGCUGUGAAAACCCGCAGCUCAACUGUGGGCUUGCAGCUGAUACGGGCAGGCUUGAGUUCGGUAGGGGAGACUGGAAUUCCUGGUGUAGCGGUGAAAUGCGCAGAUAUCAGGAGGAACACCGGUGGCGAAGGCGGGUCUCUGGGCCGAUACUGACGCUGAGGAGCGAAAGCGUGGGGAGCGAACAGG